AUAUUUAGUGAAUUUCUGCUGUGAGCCAUGAUCUCUGCUAGCCCACUGGGAAGAGGAGUGCUGGUUCAUGACCCGUCAUCUGCAUGGUGGUGCAGGAAGCUCUUCUUUCUCUUCGUACAUGAGGGUAAUAGACAGCAGUCUUCAGCCUGAGACCCAUCACUAGAAACAGAUAAUCGGUGUCGUGAAGAAAAGACAAAGGAUCUCUCAGCAAGGCAAU
rnacentral:lncRNA from 10 species